CACAGCCUGCAAGGUGGGACAGCCAACUCAGAACCCUCCCCCAGAAGCCCCAAGCCACCCUUGCACGUUGCAGCCCGCCUGUUUAUCCUGCCCUCCGCUCGCUCGCGUGACCCCUGCAGGGGAAGGGGAUGGAAGGACACACCUCCGGAUAUUUGCCAGGGGGCCACCCCUUCCCUCUGGGCACCUCAUGGAGGGCGGGACAAACAGAGGAACUGGCCGUGUUUAUAAUGAUCAGGCCCCGGCUCCACCCUGGGACAGCUCCCAGCUCUGGCGGCUCCCUUGCCCGGCUCCCCGCCCCCACCGAGUCCCCAGGCCCCUGAGCAGCCCGGCUGCUGUGCCCUGUGCCGCCUUAUCUCCUGCCCCUGCCAACCAACCCACCUCGGGGGCUCACUGUGUGGCUGGGGGCCGGCCGCUCGGCCACUCUGUGCCUCGGUUCCCCCCUCUGUUAAAGACAAUAAUGCCAGUGCCUGCUUCCUGGAGUUCCUACAGGAGUCACAAGUGAGAACACGAGGCCCUGACCGCCUGGCCCGAAAGCAGCUGUGGGCAGCACUGACCUGAGCACCCACUGUGUGCCGGCCCCUCCUCUAAGCACCCUGCCCGGAGUCCCUCAUGUAAUCUGCACACGUGACCCACGAGGAAGCAGCCACUACGCGUGACAGACAAGCCUUCGGCAGGACAAUCUGAAGCAGAAAAGAUGUCCACAAACCAGUCCCUGCCACCAAAUGUGCCACACCGAGGCUCAGCUCUGGGACUUCCAUCACUACCACCACCACGAGGGCCCCGUGAACCCUGUGCAGAUGCAGACGCGGAGCUCACGGACCCCCUAUGACCUCGGUGGGGCAGCUAUUCUCAUUCCCACUUCGCAGAUGUGGAAACUGAGGAUCACAAAGGUGAAAUCUCUUGCUCAGGUUACCAGGCAGAGCUGGGCCUAGAAGACAGGGGGAUCUACUACAGGGUCGACCUCCUUAAGCCUUCUGCUGGCCCCCAAGGCUCCUCCGUGUGGCCCCAUGGCCUGUACGAUCGGCCUGUCACCUCUGCCCCCUCGUUCACUCUGCCCCAGCCACAUGGGCCUCCUUGCUGUUCUUCAAACCCUAGACGUGUCCCCACCUCAGGGCCUUUGCACUGGCUGUCACCCCACCUGCUGGAACUUCAUUCUCCCUGAUCUGCACAUGGCUCCCUCCCUCCUCCCCGCUACCCGAGUCUGUGCUCAAAUAUCCCUGCUCCUGUCCCGGCUCCCUCUAUGCCUUUUUCUUUGCACCUGUCUUCUGUCUUGCUCCCCAGUGUACCCCGUCUACAACAUGGCCCCAGCCCACACUAGGUGCUCAAGGAACCUGUGGUGAAUGAACUGAUUCAUCUGUACCCACUACGCUACAGCCCUGCUUGGGCACCUCUGACUCUGCCCGGGCGGUCCCUGGGGCACUCUGGCGGAGGUGUGCCUGGGACCCAGGGGCGGCGGGUGAAGCAGCAAUGUCAGGCAGAGGGAACAGAGGAGGACAGCGUGCAGACGCCUCUGAAGCCUAGGGUCUGAUCCCAAGAACGCAGGCCCAUUUUGCAUUCUACUCUCGUACGGUCAUUGCAAUUAAAGAAAGUCUUUUGAAUUAUUCAGCAUGUGGGACAGGCGGUUUCCAACCUGUCCCAGCAAAAGCUUCAGAUUUUCUAGUCACCCCUGCAUUCACUGGUUCUACACUCUGAGCUUUCAGGAGAAAAUGAUACCCACCCUCCCACCCACCCAAACUCUCCCCACCAAGGAAAUCGGCCCCAGGGGGAGAGCAAGAUCCACUUGUGGGACGAAGCUGUCUGGGGAGUGUGUGUGUGUGUGUGUGUGUGUGUGUGUGCGCGCGCGCACGCGCGUGUAAAACUCCUUGCCUCCUGUCCCCUUCCCUCCCCCCAGGCUCUGAAUAAAGCUGCAGUUCUGGGAGCUGACCUAGCUGGACCCCAGGGGCCCAGGGAAAGAACAGGGGAUGUGACAGGAUCACAGUCUCGCUUUCACAUCCACCCAAACGAACCCCUCGAUCAGGAAGAGGACCACGGAGGAGGGCUCACUGGCCCCGGCCUGCACUCAGGGCUUUCACCCGUGGCUCCCACUCACCCUUCUGUCAAGACCUUCACCCACUAGCUUUGGGAAGUCCCUCCUCACCUCAGUUUACCCCAUCUCCCCUGGCUGUGUUCUGACAACGGAAGGAGAGUCCGGCCUCCUUUCCCGGCCUCCAGCAGAAGCCUCGCUGCCUCCCUUAAUCCCCCACCCUUCCCACCUCCAUACCUGUGCUCAGCUCUUGGGUGCCCACCUGUACAGCGCCCUGCCCUCCCCAGUCCAAAUCUCUCUCCCAGUCUCCCGCCCCGAGCUGAGUUCCUCCAAGGAAUCCUCAGGGACCUUGACCCCAGACCCUGCCACGAGCUCUGGGCCUGACAAUACCUACUCUACCCACAAAGGACUCCAUCACGCUCCUGCAUCCACCCACCGUCGAUAGCUACUGAGGGCUGAUCUCUGCCAGGCUAGGGCCGGGCCUCCUAGCGGUGGUCAGGACGGCCAGAAGCCUCCCUGCCCGUGCAGAGCCCACGGUCUACGGGAAAGGAGACUGUCGAUAAAUGAGCUGAAUCAGAAAAACAUCUAGUAAGUGAGAUGGUAAGCGCUGAGGACAUACACAAAGGAAGGGUCAGGACCUUGUUGAGGGUCAGGAGAGGUUGGAAUUUUCAAUGAAGUGAUGGGGGGGGGGCGUGGCUGGGAAGGGGACACUUGAGCAGCGACCUGACAGGAGAGCAGAGAGGGAAUCAUUGGGAUACCCGGAGGAAGAGCACUGGGCAGGGCAGCACAGAGGGAAGAGUCAGGACAAAUGUCCCCAGGUGUGGUCAGAGCAGAGGAGGCCGAGUGGCGGGGCAGGUGGUGGGGGCAGAUCAUGUAGGGACUUGGGGGCCACGGAGAUCACUCUGUCCUUUCCCUGGAGUGAGGCAGAGCCACACAAGGGCUCUGAGCAGGGAAGGGACGUGGCCUGACUCGCGUCCACGGGCUCCCCAUGGCCAAGUGUGGGGCACAGACUGGGAGCGGGGAGCCCGGGGAGGUGCAGGACGUGACAGUCCAGCGGAAGACAGGGGUGGGCAGGCCCACGUGGGGGCUCAGGAGGGAGAAGCGGGCAGGCUCCAGGCGUGUGGUAAUGGUCGCGAUGACGGGACUUGCUGAGGACCGACACCACUUUCCGCACUGGCUGCAGCAAGCGCGCCACGGGGGCGGGGGCUUGGUCCAGUCUUGCCCAUCACCGCACCCCCGGUGCCUGGCACAUUCCGCCUACCCUCUCCCGGCCCUUCACAUCACCCAACAGGUUACACACUCAUGAGUGUGCCUAUUGUCUCCCACUAAGUCAGUGGCUCGGCACAGGCGGGACCCACGUUUCAGUUGAUCACGGCUCGGUCCCAGCACCUAGCGCGGGCUGUUCCUUCUUGGUGGCCGAGUGGAUGGAGGGGAUGGGCGCACGCUUUGGUGCCGACUCUGGCCCAGGCCCGCACCAGGCGUGCGGCACCAGGCGUGCAGACAGGCCACAGUGAGCCCUCCGCACGGUUCCUCUUCCUUUCUCCUUCCCAAACCAAAACGCUGAGGUCCAGAGAGGGGAAGUCACUGCCCAGGGCUGCCCUGCACCAGGUCACAGAAGUGCCCAUUCUGACCCACAGAGAAGGUCACCACCCCCUCUGCCUCCUGCUUCCCUGCGGCCCAGGCUCCAGCCAAGGCCUUUGCUCCAGACAAAGGACCCCAGAGGUUUAUGGGACAAGAACGACAGCAGAGACAACUCUAUGCCGAUAACCAGAACCAAGAUCAGAAAGGCUGCCUUGGUUAGGAGAGAACCAGAAGCAACGGUAAACCAAUAGCUCUCCCCAGGCCUCCCCCUUGGAUAAAACUCCCCACUGGGACUUACCAAGCCCCAGGCCAGUUGGGCUCUUUCAACCUCAGGACCUCAUCCCUCCCACUCUCUUCACUACAACUGCGCUUGCCUCCUGCAUUUUUGUCUCAGAUGCCUCAAGCCUGUUCCAGCCUCAGGGCCUUUGCACCUAUGCUUCCCUCUGCCCGGAGCUGCGUGGCUCACCCUUUCCUGACAUUUGUGUCUCCGUGCAAAUAAAACCUCAUUAGAAAGGUC